AAUGAACGCUGGCGGCAGGCCUAAAACAUGCAAGUCGAGCGCCCUAGCAAUAGGGAGCGGCGCACGGGUGAGUAACACGUGGGAAUAUGCCUUUUGGUACGGAACAACGUUUGGAAACGAACGCUAAUGCCGUAUGGUCCCUUCGGGGUAAAGAUUUAUCGCCAAAAGAUUAGCCCGCGUUGGAUUAGCUAGUUGGUAGGGUAAUGGCCUACCGAGGCGACGAUCCAUAGCUGGUCUGAGAGGACGAUCAGCCACACUGGGACUGAGACACGGCCCAGACUCCUACGGGAGGCAGCAGUUAGGAAUAUUGGACAAUGGGCGCAAGCCUGAUCCAGCCAUGCCGCGUGAGUGAUGAAGGCCUUCGGGUUGUAAAGCUCUUUAGCCGAUGAUUAUAAUGACUGUAGUCGGAAAAUAAGCCCCGGCUAACUUCGUGCCAGCCGCCGCAGUAA
rnacentral:rRNA from 1 species